ACUACAUCAAAAGUAAUCUUUCUUUUCUCCUCUUUUAGCUUCUCCGAGAAAUUAUUUAGUGGAAAAGGCUUACAUUUUCAGCCAUCAUUUCUAGAUUUUGGAAUACAGAUCCUAGGACACCCUGCAGCAAAGAUUCUCCAUGUGUACAACCCCAGCAGGGAAAACGAGGUAGUGGUGAACUCAGUGUUUACAGCUGCUAGACAUUUUCAUGUGCCUCCUGUUCACUGCAGGGUAAUUCCAGCAAUGGAGAAAACUUCCUUCAGAAUUAUUUUUUUACCUACUGAAGAAGGAAGCAUUGAAAGUUCUUUAUUUAUUAAUACCUCUUCAUAUGGAGUCCUUUCCUAUCGCGUGUCUGGAAUUGGCAUGCACAGAAUCUCUACUGAAGGAUCUGCAGAGCAGCUGCCAAAUGCUUAUUUUCUGCUUCUGCAGGUCCAGAGCAUUCGGCUUUCACAAACACAGGUCAUUUAAUAAACUUUCUUUGAACAAACUUUGUAGCCUUCUCCACUUAUGUCUUUGGCAGAGUAUGUACAGCUCUUUUUACAUAGUCAUAAUUGGGUUUGACUAUUUCCUGCUUUUUGAGAAGUUCUGAAAUAUAGAAAUAAUGUAUGUAAAGUCUCAGUGGAAUCUAUAUCCUUUUGUUCUGUUUUGUUUUUCUUUUUUGCAGUACUGGGGAUUGAACUCAGGACCUUGCAUAUGCUAGGCAAGUGCUGCUCUUCUGAGCUCCACCCACAGCCCUGUAUACUAUGUAUUGAUAAUCUGUAGCUUGCUUCAUCCUAUCCUUAAAAUGGUUUCAGUUUUUCAUUAUUAUUAGUGUUAGGCCAUGUACCUAUAAGUUUCUUAAUUUCCCCCUUGAAUCAUCUGUUUCCUUGAGGUUUAUUUCAUAAAGAGGAUCGAGUCUGAAGUUAUAGACUAUGAACUGUUUUAUAGAGCUUGUUAAAUCUUGCUGUUUGCUUUUCAGGAAAUCAGAACUACUGUGGCCACCACUAAGAAUAUGCCUCCAAGAAUAUCUUACCAUCUUUUUCCCUUUCCCUGCUUCUGUCUUGCUUGGAUAUGAUGUGGGAAAAAUAUUUUUGAUGUUUUGGUAGAUGUAUAAUGAUAACGUAAAAUUCUUUUAAUAUGCACUUCAUUAAUAGCUUGUAUUGGCCACCUUCCCCCUUUGAUUAUCCAGAUUUCCUUGUAACUGGUUAACUUUUAGAAUUUGGAAAAAAAAAACUUGAACCAAUAAUUAUGCACCUUACCUGCCCUUUGUUUCUGAUUGGUAAAUUCAUAACAUUGCAUAGGAUCUGUGGUCAGUAAUGUUAGAACCUGGGACUUUUGUUCAUUCUCAAAUGUUUUUGAGCCUCUGCUCUGAGCCAGGCCUUGGAUGCUUUCAUUUCAGUAUGGCAGACAAAAUUAAUUCUAACUAUAGUGUAAUAUCUGGUAGACUUAUCAUCAAAUAGAUGAUUCUUAGGGAUUUUUAAUAUUAUUUUAAUAAAAUUGAAUUGCCCCUCCCAGGAUUUAAAAAAAAUUCUUUUUCCAUCCCUUCCUCCUUCUCUCCUUCCCUCUUUCUUCACUUUUUCUCCCCCUUCCUUUUCUUUCCCUCUUCCUUGGACCUAGUGCCUCAUGUAUGCCAGGUAAAUCCUCUACUACUGAACCACACCCCUGGCCGCUGUCUCUUUAGUCCCAGUGCAUGCCACACUAAGUCUUUCUCUGCUUGCUUACGUGCCUUUUCUCCUCUUGCCAUAGGUCCUUUGCAUCUACAGUUUUCUUCAGCCCCCUCCUUCUUCUUGUCUAAAUCCCUCCUAUUUUCACUCUAGUUCUUCAGGGACUCUGUUCUCUCUCUUCACUCUGGCUCAGAACCUUUGUUAAACUGUAGUGAAGCUGUGUGUCCCUUCCCCUUAAAACACUUAACCUUUGUUAAAUACUCACGUGCCCACAUAAUGUGAUUACCACUCUUGGCUUUACUCCACGAGAUAUAAGCUCCAUGAAAGCGGGAACCCUUGGGUUGUCUUCCCAAGGCUCCGUUUGCCUCACCCAGUGGGUGGUGGCUGAGUGAAUUUUGAGGUAGCUCUGUAACUGUCCUCACUGGAACAGGUUUCUGUUACUCCCUGUUAGAUGGCCUGCCUAGCUGAUGGUGCCUUGGUUUUCUUGAUCUUUGUUUUUGCUUUAGCACAUACAAGUUAAGCAUCCCUAAUUAAUAAAUAUGAAACGCAGAAUGUUCCAAACCCCAAACUCUGGGCCAAUAUGACGCUACUAGUGGAAAAUUUCACGUCUGAUCUCACUUUUAUGGGUUGCAGUUAAAACACAGGCUCACUAAAAAUACCAUAUGACAUUACCUUCAGGCUGUGUAUAUAAUGUAUAUGAAAGAAAUGAAUUUUUUAUGUGUAGACUGGAGUCCCAUGCCCAGGGCAUCUCAUGUGUAUGCAAAUAUUCCAAAAUCCAGUAAAGGCCCAAAUCUGUAACAUUUCUGUUCCUAAACAUUUUCAGUAAGGGAAAUUAAUCCUAUACUAAACGCUAUUUCUUUUCUUUUUUGCAAUUUAAUUUAUUUUUAAUAAUCUUAUUGAGACAUAAGUCACACACCAUAAAAUCCACCAUUACAAUUCAGUGGGUUUUAGUAUAUUCACAGUUAUGCAACUAUCACCACUGUCUAAUUUUAGAACAUUUUUCAUUGCCCCAAUCCUUGGCAGCCACUAAUCUGUUUUCUGUCUCUGUGGAUUUAUCUAUUCUGGACAUUUCAUAAAAAGAAAAUGUAUGACCUUUUGUAAUUGGCUUCUUUCCCUUAACAUGUUUUCAAGUUUCAUCUGUGCCUUUUAUUGUCAAAUAAUAGACCAUUAUAUGGACAUACCACAUUCUACUUAACCAUCAGUUGGUGGACACUUCUUGUUUUUUUGUUUGUUUGUCACUAGUAUUAAGGUUUGAACUCAGGACUCAUGCUUGCUAGACAAGCACUGUACCACUUGAACUACUCUCCCAGCCCCAGUUGGUGAACAUUUGAGUUAGUAGUUUCUGCUGUUUUGGCUAUUAUGAAUAAUGUUGCCAUGAGCACCUGAUCAUUUAUUUGUAAGUUUGUAUGGACAUAUCUUUUUUCUUACCUAGAAGUAGAAUUUUGCUGGUAAUACUUUUUUUUUCUUGGUACUGGGGUUUGAACUAAAGGACUUGUGGAGCCAUUGUCUAACCCUCAAAUUGUUUUAUAAAGUGCUCAUACCAUUUUUCAAUUCUACCAGCAAUAUGUGAGGGUUCCAGUUCUCCCCCAACUGUGUCAACACUUGCUUUCUUCUGGUUUUGUUUUUUGGUUUUUCAGUAGCCAUCCUUGAAGGGCAUGAAGUGUUAUUCAUGGGUUGGAUUUCAUAAUGACAAAGGUGCUGAGUAUUUUUUCAUGUGCUCACUGAUGAUAGGUUUUGUUGGAGAAGUGUCUAUUCAUAUCCUUUGCCCAUUUUAAAAUCGUGUUGUCUGUCUGUUGUUGAGAAGUAAGAAUUCUUUAUCCUGGAUGUUGCACAUUUAUCCAGGUACAUGAUUUGCAAAUAUUUUCUCCCAUUCUGUAGGUUUCAUUUUCUUAAUGGUAUCUUUUGAAGUACAAAAGCUUUAUUAUCUGAUAAAAGUACAGUUUACCAAUUUUUUCUUUGGUUACUUAAUGUUUUUAGUGUCAUAUCUCAAAAGGCCUAAGGUUAUGAAAAAAUUUGAACUUGACAGAAGUAAAAUGAAAAAAAAAGAAAAAAAAAACAGAAGUAAAAUGAUUUUAUGUGUUAGUUGAAUCAUUAUGAAAAAUAGUAAGAUGAUAAUAUUACUUUGAAAGUUAUUUUUUAGUGAAACAGGUCAUAAUAAUUUUUGGAUUUUUGUGUGUUUGUGUGUGCAUAGAUAAGGUACAGGCUGUGGUUACAUGUUCAGGUCUGCACUUACUCUACACGGAGUUGAGUUUUAGUAUAUUCAUUGAGUAUUUAAAAAAUUAUCUGACAAAGGCAGAAGAACAAAAAAGUUUUCAUGAACACACAUAGCCUGGAAAGUGAAGGCUCCAGAGUUUUCACUCUGGUGUUUGAGCAUGGAUCAGAGUGUACAGGUGGACUUGAUGUAGUACAUCAAGGACACAUAACUUAGGUGACACAUUUAAAAGGGUGUGAGUUACUUGUUUCAAAACUCAAGAGAAAUUUGAGCUGUCAGAAUAAUUACUUAGGAGGAUAUCAGAAGUCUCAUUACCUCAAAGCGAGCAGACUUCCCAUGAGGUGUGACUUUGGUGCAGUAUGUGGUAUAUGAGCUGAGGCUGCACUUACUGGCCCCCUGUACUGUAACUCGGCCAGUAAGCUCAGCUCUGUUCAGCACGGAGUCUUACAUAUCCAGGGACAAAUGGAUUGUUCUUACCAAAUGAUUACAAAGCAUGAAACUUACAUAGUUUCAAGAAGAUUUCAAGUCAUGAAGGUGGAGCGAGGACUACACAGAGGACGCUCCUCAAGCUUCAGAUGCAGUUACAUGAGGAGGAAAUUUAUACCUAUGUUGAGUUUCUCAGAUGUGGGGGACUAUCACUGGCCAUUCCUUACACAUACUACCUUAAACUUGGAGCCUAAGGUCACAGCUAAAAUUUUUAUGUAAUCAGAACACCUUCACCCUCUUACCCUUGCACACGUCUUUCAAAUUACCUUCUCUGGAGGUAAAGUUUUGCUAUUUAUAAAUUACCAGGUCUAAGGCAUUUAUUUUGUCAUAGCAGACAAGAGGAUUGAGACAAUAGGAAACAUGGAGUUGAGAUUGCUCUUUUAUUUUUAAACUCUUUCCACUGAUCCUUCUAUUUUGUUGUUUUAAUCUUCAGGAAGAGAGAAUUCUUAACAGAUAAGAAUGGGUCUGAAGAAAGAUCAGGUUUCUCUGCAUUUGCUGCAAUCUUGUUGUCAUUUGUCACCUGAGUAGUUCUCCUAGUCAUCCUCCUCCACUCCAAGCCCACAUAUCAGUCCGCCGUGGCCAAGCUGGUCAUUUUUCCUCUGGCUACUGAAUUAGUGUAGUCCCUUCUUGCUCAAAGGAUGAGGUCCAUGUUCUUUAGCUUAGUGUAUGAGGCCCUUUGUAACUGGGACCCAGCUUCUGUCUCUAGCCUCAGACCUCCUACCUCUUUUUCUAUACUCUGGCCUUACAGACUUCUCAUCCUUCCCAGAACAUGCUAUCCCCUUUUAAUAGCUCACUCUCAUCAGAAUUUACCCCAUUCUAACUGUCCUUCUAAUUCCAUCCUUCAAGACCCAGUCCUGUUAGCCCCUCCAGAACUUCUUCAGGUCCUAAAGCAAGCCUGUGCCAGGUUCCUGCUGUGACUCUGAGCUCUAGUGGUGCCCCUCUCCUUUUCUUUCAGGGGACUCCUCUUUGUCAGUUUUAAAACAUCCCUAUCAGUUCCAUGUAGUACUUUGAAGGUCCCAGAGUUUUAAAUAGAUAGAUGAGGCAAUGGGAAUCUGAGUUGGGAUCUCCAAAUAGCACAUCUACCAGUCACAACAGCUCAGAUUUGUAGAACUUCACCUUUGUACCACAUCAACCAGUUUGACCUUCAGCAGAUUUACUACCAGGGCAGGUGGCAUUAUUCUUAUUUUAGAAAUUAUAGAGUGGACUUAGAGUUUAAAUUUCUUGGUGGAGGUCAAGAGCAGAGCCAGUAUUGGCAAUGCCAGCUGCGUAAGCUUUAAAUUUUCCUCAAAUGUAGUCAGUAUGAUAAUGAUUUUCAUAUCUAUUAGCUUAGUCAUUCAUGAAUACAGUAAAGGUAAGUGCCAAUAAAAUGUUCUUUGCAGACUUUUUAUUAUGGAAGAAAAAAAAAAGGUAGAGACCUUUUUUACUCUUAUUGUUAGGUAGAGGCCUAACAGUAAAAAAGGGAUGUGAUAAGUUUGAGUUAUAAAUAUAGCAAAAUAUUAAGUAGUUCUUCCAAAUUGUGGAAACAUGUGGCAGAUGGUUUGUAUAUAAACCAGAGUAUAUUCUGUGGUUGUAACUGUAAAUACAGGGUGAGGCGUAGCAUGUAAAUGCAGUUGUGUUAGGCUUCUGAGAAAGCAGUAAGUUUUGUUUUCUCUUUUAUUUUUUAUUAUUUUCCUCAAUGCCUUGUUGGAUCCAGGCUGUUGAUAUCUGGGAAAUGUUUCAUUGAUAAAUUUGGCAAAACAGUAUUUGAAAUUGGCAUUUUCCCAGAAUCUGCCAUAUGGAGCUACUAGCUAUAGCUUGUCUGAGAGAUUAAAAAGAAACAAAGCUACAUGUGGUGGCCCAUGCCUGUCAAUCAAUACCAGCACUCUGGAGGUAGGAUAGGAGUUUGGGAGUUCCAAGGUCAGCCUAGAUGCCUAAAGAGACCUUAUCUGAAAAAACAUGCAAGCAAUCAAAGAGCUUAAGUUAUUAUUAUUAGAAUUAUUGUUAAAUAAUGUUAUUGUUUUAAAAUAUGAUUAUAUAAUGGGAAGCCUAGAGAAGUUUCAAAGUUAGAGGAGAAUCCUUGACACGCAGUUCUACAAAGCGAAGGUGGUUUUGUGGGGGGAGGAAGACACGGUAUAUUGUUAAAUUAUUUAAAAGAUUGUACCUUCAGGAUAUUCUAUAAUUAUAAGAAAACAUGGGAAACCCAAAGAAAUGAAAAAUAGAAAAGGGCAAAACAAAGGCUGGCUGGAACUGAUCAGUACAUGCUCUAUGAAUGUAUGAAAGUGUCACAGUGAACCCCACUGAUAGGAAGUUAUGUGCUAAUUAAAAAAAGUAAGGAAGCCCCCAACCACAGUCACACUUGUCAAAGGUCCCCAUAUUUUGUUGUCUUCUUUCUGAUUUGUGAAUACAGAUGAGGGAUUCCCUCCCCUCCCCAUGGGACCAUGUUGCUGGUUGUGUAAAGGAGACAUUCAUUAUGUCUAGGUAUCCUGUAUAAUAUCUAAUAUGUUUCAGACCAAGAGUUCCUAAGCUUUUAAAAUUGGCACAGCUUUUGCUCUUGGUGUGAGAUGUCAAACCCUUGUACCUACCAGGGACAGGUGUUUGGUAGGGGCCUCCUGGAGCUUAUUUGGUUUGGGGGAGGUUGUCCUGAUUUGUUACCUGCUACUGGCCUUUGUAGAUGUUGAGUCCUGUCAAUUAAAUAUGGCAGUCAGAAAGAGAAGCUGUAAGAUCAGUGCAGGCAGGAGGACAUGGGUCACCUUUUCAAUCAUAAGAAAAGGGCACGUUAGGUUGCAAAAGUCGGAUCUACGAUUUUGGAGAUAGAAAAUAGAGAACAGGUAAAAGGUAAGGACCCUUGUAGUGGACCUCUUUUUCCAGAUUGUCUUACACAUAAUUUGUUAAAUAGAAUGAAUACUUUUCUAAGUUUGAUAGCUUAGAAAAGUUCAAAGUUUGUAGCUUUGAAUUCCUACAAAUAUGCAUGAUAUCUUAAUGUAUUUCAUAAUUUUUCUUUGGGUGAUAAAAGAAGUAAUUUGAUCUCUAUUACAUGAAAA